AAUAACAAUUACUAAUAGAGUGACGCCCCUAACUACUUAUGUAUAUAAUUAACCACACAAAAUAUUUAUUAUAUAAUCAAAAAUUUACGUUUAUAAAUAACGCAAAAUUUCCCAAAAUCAAAUCAGUUAUUAUGGAAAAUACAGUUAAUAAGCGUUGGUUAUUUUUCGAAAUAGUGAUCUUGCUGCUAGGAGUCACAGCUGCAGUGCACUAUCGGGUAGAAUUUGAAAAUGAAGAUCUAUUUUCCCCAUGUGCUCAUCUAUCAGACAAAGUCAAGGAUAUUCGAGAAUUUUUGGAUUUUUCAGAGCUACAAAUAAAAGAUGUUGACAAUAAACUAAUGAUAUCAGGAAAUAUCUCAUCUAACUGGAAUUACGACCCAACCGAUCGCCUUGAAACUACUUCAACGUUGUAUCGUUUUGAACGUCGAGAAUGGGUCAAUACCGUAAUAAGCGCUAGAUUUAACGAUUUGUGUAAUGAGUUGUUUGAUGAACGAAAGCAAUGGUACAUGUUUUGGACUAAGCAUGUAAUCAAUAUUGAUGACGUGAAGAAGACAUGCUUUUUAAAAGGCUCAAAAUUUAUUCAUAAAACAUUUACAACAGAUGGGGGCACGGAUUUACAAUUGAUUGUCCCCCAAGGACGACAUAAGCUGGUAGUCCUGAUAAAACCGAUUGAUAAAAAUCUCACAGUAAGAUAUCCAAUCUUAUGUUUUGAAAUUGUUGGCGAAAUUAUAAGAGAAUAAGUGCAUGUGUAUUCGUAACAACAAUAAAUAUCAA